AUUGAACGCUGGCGGCAGGCUUAACACAUGCAAGUCGAGCGGAGCGAGGGUGCUUGCACCUUAGCUUAGCGGCGGACGGGUGAGUAAUGCUUAGGAAUCUGCCUAUUAGUGGGGGACAACAUUCCGAAAGGGAUGCUAAUACCGCAUACGCCCUACGGGGGAAAGCAGGGGAUCUUCGGACCUUGCGCUAAUAGAUGAGCCUAAGUCGGAUUAGCUAGUUGGUGGGGUAAAGGCCUACCAAGGCGACGAUCUGUAGCGGGCCUGAGAGGAUGAUCCGGCACCCUGGGACUGAGACGCGGCCACGACUCCUACGGGAGGCGGCAGUGGGGAAUAUUGGACGAUGGGCGGAAGCCUGAUCCAGCCAUGCCGCGUGUGUGAAGAAGGCAUUUUGGUUGUAAAGCACUUUAAGCGAGGAGGAGGCUACUAGUAUUAAUACUACUGGAUAGUGGACGUUACUCGCAGAAUAAGCACCGGCUAACUCUGUGCCAGCAGCCGCCGUAAAAC
rnacentral:rRNA from 1 species